rnacentral:rRNA from 1 species
AUUGAACGCUGGCGGCAUGCCUUACACAUGCAAGUCGAACGGUAACAGGUCUUCGGAUGCUGACGAGUGGCGAACGGGUGAGUAAUGCAUCGGAACGUGCCCAGUAGUGGGGGAUAGCCUGGCGAAAGCCGGAUUAAUACCGCAUACGACCUGAGGGUGAAAGGGGGGGAUCGCAAGACCCCUCGCUGUUGGAGCGGCCGAUGUCAGAUUAGCUAGGUGGGGGGGUAAAGGCCUACCAAGGCAACGAUCUGUAGUUGGUCUGAGAGGACGACCAGCCACACUGGGACUGAGACACGGCCCAGACUCCUACGGGAGGCAGCAGUGGGGAAUUUUGGACAAUGGGCGCAAGCCUGAUCCAGCAAUGCCGCGUGCAGGAAGAAGGCCUUCGGGUUGUAAACUGCUUUUGUCAGGGAAGAAAUCUUCUGGGUUAAUACCUCGGGAGGAUGACGGUACCUGAAGAAUAAGCACCGGCUAACUACGUGCCAGCAGCCGCCGUAACAC